rnacentral:rRNA from 1 species
GAUGAACGCUGGCGGCGUGCCUAAUACAUGCAAGUCGAGCGAACAGACGAGGAGCUUGCUCCUCUGACGUUAGCGGCGGACGGGUGAGUAACACGUGGAUAACCUACCUAUAAGACUGGGAUCACUUCGGGAAACCGGAGCUAAUACCGGAUAAUAUAUUGAACCGCAUGGUUCAAUAGUGAAAGACGGUUUUGCUGUCACUUAUAGAUGGAUCCGCGCCGCAUUAGCUAGUUGGUAAGGUAACGGCUUACCAAGGCGACGAUGCGUAGCCGACCUGAGAGGGUGAUCGGCCACACUGGAACUUGGACACAGUCCAGACUCCUACGGGAGGCACCAGUAGGGAAUCUUCCGCAAAGGGCGAAAGCCUGGCGGAGCAACGCCGCGUGAGUGAUGAAGGUCUUCGGAUCGUAAAACUCUGUUAUUAGGGAAGAACAAAUGUGUAAGUAACUAUGCACGUCUUGACGGUACCUAAUCAGAAAGCCACGGCUAACUACGUG